GCGGCGUGCUUAACACAUGCAAGUCGAGCGGAAAGGCUCCUUCGGGGGUACUCGAGCGGCGAACGGGUGAGUAACACGUGAGUAAUCUGCCUCGCAGUGGGGAAUAACUCGCCGAAAGGCGAGCUAAUACCGCAUACCACUCCCGGUGAGAAUCCGGGCAGUAAAAGUAGCAAUGCGCUGUGAGAGGGGCCCGCGGCCGAUUAGCUUGUUGGUGGGGUAACGGCCUACCAAGGCGACGAUCGGUAGCUGGUCUGAGAGGAUGGGCAGCCACACGGGGACUGAGAUACGGCCCCGACUCCUACGGGAGGCAGCAGCUAAGAAUCUUGCGCAAUGGGCGAAAGCCUGACGCAGCAACGCCGCGUGGGGGACGAAGGCCCUCGGGUCGUAAACCCCUUUUGCGAGGGAAGAAGUUCUGACGGUACCUCGCGAAUAAGCCACGGCUAACUACGUGCCAGCCGCCGCCGUAAAAC
rnacentral:rRNA from 1 species